AAAUUCCCUCUCAUUUGUGAUGAAAUUGCCGGCACAUAAAGAAGUGUUGUUUCUUAAAAAUUUUGUGAAAAAUACUAAAAUUAUCAUGGAUUUUGAUCGAUUAAGAUAAAUACAACAAAUAAACUAUUGCUCACCAUGCUCAAAAAUUAUUAGCAUAAAAAUGGAUUUUUGGAUGAAAAAAGAUAAACACAACAAAUAAACGCGUCAUUAUUUCUAACGCUCACAAAUAAGUUCUGAAAAACGAAAUGGAUUCGACACGUUUUUGUCUGUGUAUUAGUGUAGAUAACAGUAGAAAAGUGGUGUGAUGAUUCAUAACAAAGCACUUGAAUUAUGGAUCAUGUUCACACAAAAAAAUUUGUUCUUAAAUACUUCGUGACAUGAUACAAAAAAAUCAGUAUAAAAUCGGUCUCCAUAAUGAGAAAACAAAAUUAACUUCAAUUCUUAAAACUCCGUUACGCUUCCAAAAUAACUGGAAUUAAACACUUUGGAAAUUAGUUACUGGUCUUCGUAUUAAAAAAAUCGAUGCAUUUUAUCGAUUUACUAUAGCAUCAUGCUGUCGACACCGCGGGGAAAAAUUCUUCAAUAUAUUGAGUGUUUGGAUAAAAUUAAUUAACAAAAACUUGCUCAAAAAUUAGCCAUUAGGCUGUUUCGGUAUGAUUCAGUACAACAUACCUAUUAUUAAAAAUAACUUUGAAAAAUAACUAAAACACUUCAAUGAGUGUUUGGACAA